GCCAACUCCUACGGGAGGCAGCAGUGGGGAAUUUUGGACAAUGGGGGCAACCCUGAUCCAGCCAUGCCGCGUGCGGGAAGAAGGCCUUCGGGUGGUAAACCGUUUUGUCUGGGAAGAAAAGAUCUCUUCUAAUACGAGGGGUUAUUGACGGGUACCGGAAGAUUUUAAA
rnacentral:rRNA from 1 species